UACGUAGGGGGCGAGCGUUGUCCGGAAUCAUUGGGCGUAAAGCGCGUGUAGGCGGUCCGGUAAGUCCGCUGUGAAAGUCGGGGGCUCAACCCUCGGAUGCCGGUGGAUACUGUCGGGCUCGAGUACGGAAGAGGCGAGUGGAAUUCCUGGUGUAGCGGUGGAAUGCGCAGAUAUCAGGAGGAACACCAAUAGCGAAGGCAGCUCGCUGGGACGGUACUGACGCUAAGGCGCGAAAGCGUGGGGAGCGAACAGG
rnacentral:rRNA from 1 species